CCUACGGGCGACAGCAGUGGGGAAUUUUGCGCAAUGGGGGAAACCCUGACGCAGCAACGCCGCGUGCGGGACGAAGGCCCUCGGGCUGUAAACCGCUGUCAGCAGGGAAGACGUCGACGGUACCUGCAGAAGAAGCUCCGGCUAACUACGUGCCAGCAGCCGCGGUAAUACGUAGGGGGCGAGCGUUAUCCGGAUUCAUUGGGCGUAAAGCGCGCGUAGGCGGCCGCCUAAGCGGAACCUCUAACCCCGGGGCUCAACCUCGGGCCGGGUUCCGGACUGGGCGGCUCGAGUGCGGUAGAGGAGAGAGGAAUGCCAGGUGUAGCGGUGGAAUGCGAAGAUAUCGGGAAGAACACCGAUGGCGAAGGCAGCUUUCUGGGCCGUCACUGACGCUGAGGCGCGAAAGCUGGGGGAGCGAACAGGAUUAGAUACCCCAGUAGUC
rnacentral:rRNA from 1 species